UCUGGCUCAGAACGAACGCUGGCGGCAGGCCUAACACAUGCAAGUCGAGCGAGAUCUUCGGAUCUAGCGGCGGACGGGUGAGUAACGCGUGGGAACGUGCCCUUCUCUACGGAAUAUCCUCGGGAAACUGAGAGCAAUGCCGUAUACGCCCUUCGGGGGAAAGAUUUAUCGGAGAAGGAUCGGCCCGCGUCUGAUUAGAUAGUUGGUGGGGUAAUGGCCUACCAAGUCGACGAUCAGUAGCUGGUUUUAGAGGAUGAUCAGCCACACUGGGACUGAGACACGGCCCAGACUCCUACGGGAGGCAGCAGUGGGGAAUCUUAGACAAUGGGCGCAAGCCUGAUCUAGCCAUGCCGCGUGAGUGAUGAAGGCCUUAGGGUCGUAAAGCUCUUUCGCCAGGGAUGAUAAUACAA
rnacentral:rRNA from 1 species